AGUGAACGCUGGCGGUAGGCCUAACACAUGCCAGUCGAACGGCAGCACAGUAAGAGCUUGCUCUUACGGGUGGCGAGUGGCGGACGGGUGAGGAAUACAUCGGAAUCUACUUUUUCGUGGGGGAUAACGUAGGGAAACUUACGCUAAUACCGCAAACGACCUACGGGUGAAAGCAGGGGAUCUUCGGACCUUGCGCGAUUGAAUGAGCCGAUGUCGGAUUAGCUAGUUGGCGGGGUAAAGGCCCACCAAGGCGACGAUCCGUAGCUGGUCUGAGAGGAUGAUCAGCCACACUGGAACUGAGACACGGUCCAGACUCCUACGGGAGGCAGCAGUGGGGAAUAUUGGACAAUGGGCGCAAGCCUGAUCCAGCCAUACCGCGUGGGUGAAGAAGGCCUUCGGGUUGUAAAGCCCUUUUGUUGGGAAAGAAAAGCAGCAGGUUAAUACCCCGCUGUUCUGACGGUACCCAAAGAAUAAGCACCGGCUAACUUCGUG
rnacentral:rRNA from 1 species